ACUCUGUUGCUCCCACGUUGUUACAUAAUGUACUACAUGUUGUGUAAGACACUUUCCACGUGCAAGACACACUGCUGGAAUUAAAAGGGGAAAAAAGAAGCAUGGUUUCUAGUCUCCAAGAACUUACGACCUAAUAGAAAAAACAGGACACAGACAAACUGUCUGUGGGUACAGGUCACGUUUAAAAUGCCAAGUCAGUAGUGUAGACUGAAAAUGCUUUAAAAGUUGAGAGGACAGAACAGUAUCUGUGAGCAGAGGUGACUGUGGAAGGAUGAUCUGGUUAUCAGAGAAGGAACUAGGGAAGAGAGGAUGGCACCGUGGCUACACUGGGGAGAAGAGGAGAGUGAAUCAAGAAGCAGAAGUGACACUAAACCAGCUUCAAUUCUCUUCUUCAAUCUGCGUGGAGAUUCACUCAUCCUAUUUGUAAUAUAAGCUCUCCAGUCAUAAGUCAGAUGAUUUUCCAUCACUCUGGCCUUUGAGAACUAAGGUGCCAGAUUCUCUGAAGAGAGCAUUGUCCUGAUAAAGGAAAAACAUGAAGGCACUGGAUGUUUUAACUGUGGAACAUAAGAGAGAACAGAGAAACCCAACAAAUGGAGUUGUUGGUGCAGAUUUCCAAGGAUGAAGUUGUCUGGGUGCAGCCAAUGCUUUCAGUCAAGAAACAAGAGAGAGACACAGCGAGAGAGAGAACACAAGCAGGGGGAGUGGGAAAGGGAGAAGCAGGCUUCCCACGGAGCAGGGAGCCCGAUGCGGGGCUCGAUCCCAGGACCCGGAAGGCAGACGCUUAACGACUGAGCCACCCAGGUGCCCCUGUUCUCUGAAACAUCUUAAUGAGAGGCCAGCAGUGAGUUCAAGUUUUUCAAUGCCAAGUUGAGAAUGCCACACCUCACAUACCAUUUCCCUUGGAAAUUGAGAACAAUCCAAGUUUUUCAAAACCCCAAAGUAUCUUUUUUUAUUCUUUGAAACUCCAUGCUUUACCACAGUGCAAGUCUUAUUAGGUUUUUAAUAAAAUAUUUGUCAGUUGUUUUCUAA